UGCAUACGACAUUUGUCAACUUUAUGCAUCAACAUAUACUAACAUAUGUACAUACAAACAAAUAAGUGCAAAUACAAACUGGCCGUAAUAGAACUAAGUAUUUGAGUACAUGUACGAACAUCAGCAUACAUAUAUUUUUACAACCUUAUACAGAUGUGUACAGAUUAAUUGACUGAAUAAGAGUACCAGAAAAAAAGUGUACCAUUCAUUUGUAUGAAAUACUCAUUUCAGCCAGAAGCUUCUGUGUUGCCAUAUUACACAUAUGAUAUUAAAAUACGCUUCCUGCUUAGCAAGAUAUAUGUACAUAUGUUUAUACAUAUAUAUAUUUGCGGCACAAAUUUCAACUUUAGCAAACAUAAAGGUACAAUGUGUUAUGUAAAUUUCUUAUAAAAUUAAAGCGAGAUGGCAACUGAAAGAAAUUUCAUAUGAGCAAAUUAAGAAAAAUGUAUUUAUAUUUGUAAAAUUACCUAUUCUACCAAGCGCAUGCCCUCUCUUAACUGCACAAUUCUCUUUAAAAUUGCAAAUGUAAGCCAUUCCAACUCCAAAACCAAGCCACUCAAAGGCGAAGUCUAAUUGGACAAUAGUAUACUCAUCGAAAAUAAUGAAAAAAAAAAAUGAUUUUUCGCUUAGAAGAAUAAAAUAUAAUUAUAAUGAAAAUUAACAUUAAAAAAAGCGUAUUAAGAACUGAUAAAUCCCAUAAAUAAAAAGUAUAUUAAUUUUCAUAGGGGUAUGUUUGCCAGCAGUCUAAAGCUUUGGGCUGCUUUUAGGUCUUUGUUUAUUACUUCUGUUUGCUGAAUUGAAAGAAAUAUUAUUAUUCACAUCCCAAAAAUAAGAAAAAAUAAUAUUUAAAAACAAAAGCAAUUUAUUUGAGACGAGAUAAACAUGGGUAGAAUAUUUUCCCUGCCUAGUCUUCAUAGAUAUUACGUAUUAACAGAUUUAAGACAUACAUUACCAUACUUUACAUGCACUAAUUGAUUGAAAAUAAUAUUUCUUUGUAAUGAAAAUUGUCAAGGAUUUGGCACACUACUUUAGUUCUCAAUUAUACCAUCGUACAUUAAAUUAAAUUUGCAUGACAACUAUUUAAUACACCACUAUUUAGUAUAAGAAUUUAGGAGUGGCAGAGGGGAGGGAGCAGAUGAUUAACCUGCAAAUCCAUAAUUCGGUACAGAUUUUUGUUCGAUUUUAAAACAUUCGUGAAUAAUUCGUUAAAGAAAUAUGAAUCAGUAUUCUUUUAAGAUCGAUGUUGCCUUUUUGAUAGAUAACUUGAA